UAAAUUUCUUCUUUCCAGGAUAUUUUAUCACAGUAACAGAAAUGACACCAGGAAUCCAGCUGCCUUGUGAUGGGUUGUGGCCUGGAAGUGGAAGCUGAAGUAAGCCCAUUGCUCUCCUGCUGCCUUGGGUCAGAGCAUUUCAUUACAGCCACAGAGUGGAGCUAGAACAGGGACCAAUGACAACCUCAGCUGGGAAUGAUUCUGUCUUCGCAGGCGGUUUCUCUCUGUCUGACAAAGCCUGGGGAAACCUCACUGGACACCCUGGCCCCUGGGAGUGAAACUCCCAUCCCGACUGGGUACUGAACUUCCUGAACAGCCAACCGACACCUAGCCAGCAGAGCUGAUACACGUGCAGGCUCAAAUGUAAUUUCUCCUGAAAUGAUCCAGCGGCCCCAUGCAGUCGAGGCUUGCCUGGCCCCUCUUUGCUCAAUAAUGGCGGCUGUGCAGCUGCUUUAAAGCACACUGGCACUUGGCACCAGUGAACAUGUCCUUCUCUUUUAUCACACCCCAGCCACAGCCUCUGGACCUGCCUGACUCACAACUCACCAAGUUUUGGAUUCUGGUAUAUAUAUAAAUGUAAACUAAUUAUC